CCCUUAGAUGUUCUGGGCCGCACGCGCGCUACACUGAUGCAUUCAACGAGUGUUUCCUUGGCCGAGAGGCCUGGGCAAUCUUUUGAACGUGCAUCGUGAUAGGGAUAGAUUAUUGCAAUUAUUAAUCUUGAACGAGGAAUUCCUAGUAGACGCAGUUCAUCAAACUGCAUCGAUUACGUCCCUGCCCUUUGUACACACCGCCCGUCGCACCUACCGAUUGAAUGGUCCGGUGAAGCCUCGGGAUUGUGACUAGUGCCUUUUGGUGUUGGUUGCGAGAACUUGUCUAAACCUUAUCAUUUAGAGGAAGGUGAAGUCGUAACA
rnacentral:rRNA from 1 species